rnacentral:rRNA from 1 species
UACGAAGGGGGCUAGCGUUGCUCGGAAUCACUGGGCGUAAAGGGUGCGUAGGCGGGUCUUUAAGUCAGGGGUGAAAUCCUGGAGCUCAACUCCAGAACUGCCUUUGAUACUGGAGAGCUUGAGUCCGGAAGAGGUGAGUGGAACUCCGAGUGUAGAGGUGAAAUUCGUAGAUAUUCGGAAGAACACCAGUGGCGAAGGCGGCUCACUGGUCCGGUACUGACGCUGAUGUGCGAAAGCGUGGGGAGCAAACAGG